UUGGAAUAUGAAGGAUGUAAAACAUAGUUAGACUGUCACAGAUUGCAUGUUAGGAGUAGUUAUCUCCUUGCCUAUACCAGUAUCUAAUAGAAGGUUUCGUGCUAUGUUAAAACACUCUGUUGCAAGCUUGAGCAGACAGAGUUAAUAGUAUCAAGAGGCUUUUAGCCAGCAGUGGGACGUGUGGGUUGGCCUCAGAAAUUAGCUUUAAUAAAAGGCACUCCUCACUUCUUUGCUUUCUGCUUUUUUCUUCUCUAAUAAGCAUUAAAUAGCAUCCAAACCCUGAUGUGAAGAAGAUGCUGGCUGGGGAAACAGCAGCACAUGGAGCCUUUCAUCAAAGGGAUAUCAAAGCAUUCUGCAGCUGAACCUGGGAGGGAUAUGAAUAUGCUUAUUUUGACAGUUGUGCAGCACUGAGGCAGGCAGCCAACUGAUGAUUCUCCAGCAUGUGACUGUGAGGAGGGAAAGCUGUCCCCUGUCACGGCAGCAUAGUGGCGCGUUUGACAUCUCCUGUUAAAGACAGAAUGGACUUCAAAGCAUGGGAGCAAAAUUCUGCAUUCAUCAGAGCCUACUGACAAGAUUUCAUCCCAGCUAUUAACCUCUCAGCACUCGGAGCCUGGCUCACAAUGAGAGCAAGAUAAGGCUGCCCUGGAGCUACAAGCCAUUAACUGAAACACAUAUGCAGCAUUAUCAAACUGAGCAAAGCCUGAAAUCAAAAGGGACUCCUAGGCCACUGGCAAUCACUUAUCCCUUUUGCAGCAUAAGGGCAUCCAGGAAGAAUUACACAGUUCAUGACUGAAGAAAAUCCAGCUGCUUUUACUUCUAGCUGCAACAGAUUGGUACAUAAUGUGAUUUUCCUCGCUUCUCCUUUCAUGGUACUAGUUUUGUUUUUAAGGGGAAUAUUUAUGAAAACAUCAUCCUACAAUAGCCUAAUAAAGCAAUGCCUGCAAAGUGAACAUAAGCAUCGCUAAAGGUUUGCAGCCUUCCGGGACUCUGGUGUAAACUCUAAAUCCAGAACCAGCAACUCUGGCAUUCAGAUGACAUCGGUGACCUCACCAGGUUUUGGCUAAGAAAUGCCAUGGAAGUUCUCUCCUCAGAUGGUACCUGAC